rnacentral:rRNA from 1 species
ACUCCUACGGGAGGCAGCAGUGGGGAAUCUUGGACAAUGGGCGCAAGCCUGAUCCAGCCAUGCCGCGUGAGUGAUGAAGGCCCUAGGGUCGUAAAGCUCUUUCGCCAGGGAUGAUAAUGACAGUACCUGGUAAACGAAACCCCGGCUAACUCCGUGCCAGCAGCCGCGGUAAUACGGAGGGGUUAGCGUUGUUCGGAAUUACUGGGCGUAAAGCGCGCGUAGGCGGAUUAGUCAGUUAGAGGUGAAAUCCCAGGGCUCAACCCUGGAACUGCCUUUAAUACUGCUAGUCUUGAGUUCGAGAGAGGUGAGUGGAAUUCCGAGUGUAGAGGUGAAAUUCGUAGAUAUUCGGAGGAACACCAGUGGCGAAGGCGGCUCACUGGCUCGAUACUGACGCUGAGGUGCGAAAGUGUGGGAGCAAACAGGAUUAGAUACCCUGGUAGCGACUGA